rnacentral:rRNA from 1 species
UGCUCUAAGGAGGUUAGCCUCGGACCCCUUUAGUAUCUCUUGGGUAACCUGCCCAUAAGACUGGUAAACUCCGGGAAACCGGUACUAAUACCGGAUAACAUUUUGAACCGCAUGGUUCGAAAUUGAAAGGCGGCUUCGGCUGUCACUUAUGGAUGGACCCGCGUCGCAUUAGCUAGUUGGUGAGGUAACGGCUCACCAAGGCAACGAUGCGUAGCCCACCUGAGAGGGUGAUCGGCCACACUGGGACUGAGACACGGCCCAGACUCCUACGGGAGGCAGCAGUAGGGAAUCUUCCGCAAUGGACGAAAGUCUGACGGAGCAACGCCGCGUGAGUGAUGAAGGCUUUCGGGUCGUAAAACUCUGUUGUUAGGGAAGAACAAGUGCUAGUUGUAUUAGCUGGCACCUUGACGGAACCUAACCAGAAAGCCACGGCUAACUACGUGCCAGCAGCCGCGGUAAUACGUAGGUGGCAAGCGUUAUCCAGAAUUAUUGCGCGUAAAGCGCGCGCAGCCGGUUUCUUAAGUCUGAUGUGAAAGCCCACGGCUCAACCGCGGAGGGGCAUUGGAAACUGGGAGACUUGAGUGCAGAAGAGGAGAGUGCCACUCCAUGUGUAGCGGUGAAAUGUGUAGAGAUAUGAAGGAACGCCAUGACGAAGGGUACUUUCUGGUCUGUUAACUGACACUGAGGCGCG